GCACAUUGGAUGGGAGAGAGGGUCACAGAAACCUGUCAGCAAACAUGGAGCAAAAGCACCUCUGGACAUCAAGGAAGGAGAUCCCUGCUCUGAGACCCUGAACUGCACCAGACCACACUGGGGGCAGAAAGCUCUCGCUGGAGGCUGUGCAAGAGAGGCCAGUGUGGCAUUGACAGAAGCCUGCAAUUCUGAAUUUUGCUGAGCCACUUCUUCCCAUUGAAUCCAUUCCCUCUCCAGGUACUCCAGAUGCACUUGCAGCUCCUUGUUCUGAUGUUCUGCCUCCUCCAGUAUCUUCUGCAUCUGCUCAGCCUCCAGCAGCUUCUGCCUGGACUCAUCCUGGGUCUCCCUCCCAUCUUGCUGGGCUCUCUGCACAGUCCUUUCCUGGCACUCUCGGGAGGCUGCCAGCUGAGAUGUCAACUCUGCCACCUCCAAUCAAACAGAACAAAGCAGUCAGAGGCUACAGCCACAGCUACAGCCACUGUCAGCCACAGCACAGGCUGUGAGCAAAGGUAAAGGACAGCUUUCCUCUCCUCCCUGUCCUGAGAGCACCAGAUUCAGAAAGGAUAUGGACAACUUGUUUCAGGCUCUAAGUGGCCCAGCACCAAGGGCACCUGAGAAAGCACCUGCCAAAGCAAGGCUAGCAAGAAGAGGCCAGCAGGAAUCCAUGCUGCUGCUUGCUGGCCAACAGCACAGAGGACUAGCCCAGCUGUGCAGAGCAGCAGCUGACAUUCAGCAGAGCACUGAGUGUCCUUCAGAGCAGCUGCCAUGGAGCCCCCAGAGCACGAGACAGCCCCAGGGCUCAGCCCAGCAGCUGCUGCUCUGCCGUGGAAAAGCAAGAAGGCCACAGACCCCUCGCUGCAUGACUGCAGUGCCACUGCUCUCUCACUCACCUGUUAGACUGUGUCUCGGACGGGCUGUUUGGGGUCUACUCUGGCUAACUAUUGACCCCAGCCCACACGGUCUUACACAGACAAAAGCAAAAGAUUGAGAAGCAUUCUUCUGCAUGUGGUAACAUUCUCUCUUUAUUCCAAGAGACACUUCAGAUGGACAGAUGGCAGAAGAGGGCGUUCCCUGGUUACAGGGGACGUUUAUGCCCGGGGGAGUGAGUGGGGGCAGAGGAAGAGGUCCACAGCCCAUGGGAUACCAGUGAGGAGUGGGGAGGGGAGGGGUACCCCAGGAAGAGACCACCGGGGGGGUACUGGGGCGGUUGAAGGAGAGACCAUUUGAUGGGGGGAAAACAAACCAUGUGAUAUAACAUCAACUAUUCAGUGCAAUAUGACAACCACUCAGUGCAAAUACUCUAAUCCCCCGGUGCAAAAACAGCAACUAAAUGAACUAUUUAGUGCAAUACAACACCUCCCCCUUUUUCUGUUAAAAUUAAAGGAAAAGCGUCAACCUA